CUACGGGUCGCACCAGUGAGGAAUAUUGCACAAUGGGGGGAACCCUGAUGCAGCAACGCCGCGUGGAGGAUGACGCAUUUCGGUGUGUAAACUCCUUUUAUAUGUCAAGAAAAUGACGGUAGCAUAUGAAUAAGCACCGGCUAACUCCGUGCCAGCAGCCGCGGUGAAUACGGAGGGUGCAAGCGUGUACUCGGAAUCACUGGGCGUAAAGGACGCGUAGGCGGGUUGGAAAGUCAGGUGUGAAAUCCUACAGCUUAACUGUAGAACUGCACUUGAAACUUCUAAUCUAGAGUAUGGGAGGGGGAGAUGGAAUUAGUGGUGUAGGGGUAAAAUCCGUAGAUAUCACUAGGAAUACCUAAAGCGAAGGCGAUCUCCUGGAACAUUACUGACGCUAAGGCGUGAAAGCGUGGGGAGCAAACAGGAUUAGAUACCCCUGUAGUC
rnacentral:rRNA from 1 species